rnacentral:rRNA from 1 species
AGUGAACGCUGGCGGUAGGCCUAACACAUGCAAGUCGAACGGCAGCACAGUAAGAGCUUGCUCUUACGGGUGGCGAGUGGCGGACGGGUGAGGAAUACAUCGGAAUCUACUUUUUCGUGGGGGAUAACGUAGGGAAACUUACGCUAAUACCGCAUACGACCUACGGGUGAAAGCAGGGGAUCUUCGGACCUUGCGCGAUUGAAUGAGCCGAUGUCGGAUUAGCUAGUUGGCGGGGUAAAGGCCCACCAAGGCGACGAUCCGUAGCUGGUCUGAGAGGAUGAUCAGCCACACUGGAACUGAGACACGGUCCAGACUCCUACGGGAGGCAGCAGUGGGGAAUAUUGGACAAUGGGCGCGAGCCUGAUCCAGCCAUACCGCGUGGGUGAAGAAGGCCUUCGGGCUGUAAAGCCCUUUUGUUGGGAAAGAAAAGCAGCAGGUUAAUACCCCGCUGUUCUGACGGUACCCAAAGAAUAAGCACCGGCUAACUUCGUG